GCUGGGCGUGGUGGUGCACGCCUGUAAUCCCAGCUACUUGGGAAGCUGAGGCAGAAGAAUCGCUUGAACCUGGGAAGUGGAGGUUGCAGUGAGCCGAGAUUGCACCACUGCACUCCAGCCUGGGUGACAGCGCGGGAUUCUGUCUCAA
rnacentral:SRP_RNA from 1 species